UGCUGUGAAGAGAGUAUGGUACUGAUGAGUGAUGAAGGGCCAAAGCUCGGAGC
rnacentral:snoRNA from 1 species